CAAACCGGAAUCACUGGGGCCAUCCAGGAAUCAAAGCAGCUCAUGAAGAAAUUCCAUGCGAACAGGGCUGUUAAAAGCUAACCUGCCAGAAAGGGUAGAACGGAGGAAGGACAAGAGGAUUCUAACACGUCCUGGAGGCAGAGCACCCACGGAAGUUUCUCAACACUUCUCGUUGAAUCAAGUGGAACACCUUGAAGAGAGGCCCUUCUGUUUCCCUACAUGGUGGACAGCAGAGCUUUGAAAAUUAGAUGCUUCCCCAAACCCAGACUCUCUUGGAACAUUCUUCCCAGGUGGGUGGUAUGAACUGCGUGGCACUGGUGUCCUCGUUGGCAUAUAUAGAUUUACACUCUCAGGGACGAGACUUCCAAGGCAACACCUAGGAUUUAGAGACUAUGUUGUCAGAGACGGGCACGGAGGCAUCAUCCUUGUUCUCAUGUGGUCAAGAAGGAAGACGAAGAGAAACGUGGGCUAAGCAGCCCGGCCCUCUCCAUGGGCAGAGGCUCACCAACACCUGCCCCUCCCUCCAGGGUGUCGCCGGCUUUCAGAAUAAAGCCUUUUCUAACA
rnacentral:antisense_RNA from 1 species